GGCCGGUUGGCCUAGUGGUAAGGCGUGCGCCUCCUAAGCGCAAGAUCGCGGGUUCGAAUCCCGCAUUGGUCG
rnacentral:tRNA from 1 species